CAUAGGAAAGUAUAAAAUACACUGAUAAAUGUAAAUACAUAAUCAAUUCAGAUUAUUCUAGUAGUGCAAUUUUAAGUAGUAUAGAAAUCACUUAAGUCUAAAAUGAAAGUUGAAAGACAAAAUAGUAAACAUAAUUAUAGCUAUAAUAAUUUCAAAUGGAUACAUGAUAUAUGUGUGAUAUUAAUACCAGAAAAUGUGGUCUGUGGGAUGCCGGGUUUUUGUUCUCACAACAAAAAGCCUCAGGGGUCACUCCAGGGAAAGUGGGCUAACUGGGCUGCAUAAAAUAAGAGACACAAAUACCUUUUUGUUUGGGGUCCUCGCUGUGACGGCUCCUAUGACCUUAAGGGUCCACAGGAAGAGAGAGAGCGAGAGCACACACUGACCCCUUUUAUAUUGAGGAGAAGCUAUUCAAAUGAAGCAAGGGGUCAGGUUUCAGGGGGCUGAGUCUAUCUUCAUGAUGUCCACUGUCAGCAGGUUAACUGACACCUGGGUAGGCCACACCCAAGGGCACAGUAAGAGAAAGGGACACACCCAAGGCACUUCCAUGGAAGAUUCUAUCCUAAACAGGGCAAGGGGUUAUAUUACAAAGGAACAGGUGAGCAUAGCUUCACCCAUGGGGCUGUAGCAAGACACACCCAUGCAGGAGACAUCGACCCUCUAACCCAAGAAGGGUGAGGAAAGCUCUGCCACAUUUCUGUGACUGAGUGCCUCAGCACCCAGCUGGGGAGUGUGACUCAGUCACAUGCAUGCUUGGUCUCCUACAGUGGGAGAAAUAGAAUUCAUAUGUAAUUGAAGUUAAUUUGUUAACAGCUUAAUAGAAUGCUAUAUUUAUUACAUAUACAACUUCUAUGACAUACACAAUACAUAAAGAGAAAGGAAUCAAAGCAUGUUAAUAUAAAAUAAAAAUCACAAAGGACCAGGUGUGGUGGUGCAUGCCAAUAAUCCCAAUGGCUUGGGAGGCUAAGGCAGGAGGAUUGCCAGUUCAAAGCCAGCUUCAGCAAUGGUGAGGCCCUGUCUCUAAAUAAAAUACAAAAUAGGGCUGGGGAUGUGGCUCAGUGGUCAAGUGCCCCUGGGUUCAAUCUCUGGUACCCACCCGCAAAAAAAAAAAAGAAAGAAAGAAAAAAGAAAAACCACAAAGGAAUACAAGACAGGCAAAAAGGAACAAUGGAAUUACAACAUAGUCAUAAAACAAUUAACAAGGUGUUAAUAGUACUUAUUAGUAUCAAAAUUACCUUAUAUAAAUAUACUAAAUUCUGCAGUCAAAAGACAUAGUAGCUGAAUGAAUUAAAAACUAAUGAUAUUCAACAAUAUGCUUUCCACAAGAGACUUUAGACUUAAGGAUAGACAUAGGCUAAAAGUGAAGGGAUUGGAUAAAAUAUACUAUAUGCAUCCGUUUUAACAAAAUGCUCAGGUGUGGUUAUAUUUAUAGUAGGCAAAACUUUUUGUCAUUUUAAAAUAAAAAAUGGAACUACUAUAUGACCCAGAAAUCUCACCACUGGUUAUAUAUCUAAAGCAACUGAAAUGAGCAUGUCAUAGAGCUAUCUACACUGCUUUUUUAAAAUUGUAGCACUUUUACGAUAGCUAGUAUAUAGACUGAAACUGAAUUUAUAUCAAUGCAUGAAUGAAUAAAGAAAACAUGGUAUAUGUAUUUACAAUAAAAUAUUAUUCAGCCAUGAAAAGCAUGAAAUUCUAUUAUUUGCAAUAACACAGGUGGAACUGGAGAUAAUUGCACUAAAUGAAAGAAGCCACACACAGAAAGACAAAAAUCACAUGAUCUUCUUUGUAGAAUUUGAAAAAGUUCAUCUCAUGGAAGUAUAGAGUAGAAUAGUAGUUACUAGAGACUGCAAAGUGAAUAGGAGUGGGAAUGGGGAGAGGUUAGUCAAUGGAUAAGUUUCAGGUAGAUAGGAGGAAUAAUUUCUUGUGUUCUAUGGCACAGUAGGGUGACUAUAAUUAACAAUAAUGAAUUAUAUAUUUGAAAAUAC
rnacentral:lncRNA from 1 species